CUUGCUCCUUUGACGUUAGCGGCGGACGGGUGAGUAACACGUGGAUAACCUACCUAUAAGACUGGGAUAACUUCGGGAAACCGGAGCUAAUACCGGAUAACAUAUUGAACCGCAUGGUUCAAUAGUGAAAGGCGGCUUUGCUGUCACUUAUAGAUGGAUCCGCGCCGUAUUAGCUAGUUGGUAAGGUAACGGCUUACCAAGGCAACGAUACGUAGCCGACCUGAGAGGGUGAUCGGCCACACUGGAACUGAGACACGGUCCAGACUCCUACGGGAGGCAGCAGUAGGGAAUCUUCCGCAAUGGGCGAAAGCCUGACGGAGCAACGCCGCGUGAGUGAUGAAGGUCUUCGGAUCGUAAAACUCUGUUAUCAGGGAAGAACAAAUGUGUAAGUAACUGUGCACAUCUUGACGGUACCUGAUCAGAAAGCCACGGCUAACUACGUGCCAGCAGCCGCGGUAAUACGUAGGUGGCAAGCGUUAUCCGGAAUUAUUGGGCGUAAAGCGCGCGUAGGCGGUUUUUUAAGUCUGAUGUGAAAGCCCACGGCUCAACCGUGGAGGGUCAUUGGAAACUGGAAAACUUGAGUGCAGAAGAGGAAAGUGGAAUUCCAUGUGUAGCGGUGAAAUGCGCAGAGAUAUGGAGGAACACCAGUGGCGAAGGCGACUUUCUGGUCUGUAACUGACGCUGAUGUGCGAAAGCGUGGGGAUCAAACAGGAUUAGAUACCCUGGUAGUCCACGCCGUAAACGAUGAGUGCU
rnacentral:rRNA from 1 species